UACGUAGGUGACCAGCGUUGUCCGGAUUUACUGGGCGUAAAGAGCGCGCAGGCGGUCGUUCAAGUCGAGUGUGAAAGCCCCCGGCUCAACUGGGGAGGGUCACUUGAUACUGAUCGACUCGAAGGCAGGAGAGGGGAGCGGAAUUCCCGGUGUAGUGGUGAAAUGCGUAGAUAUCGGGAGGAACACCAGUGGCGAAGGCGGCUUCCUGGCCUGUUCUUGACGCUGAGGCGCGAAAGCUAGGGGAGCAAACGGG
rnacentral:rRNA from 1 species